GAUGAACGCUAGCGGCAGGCCUAAUACAUGCAAGUCGAGGGGUAGAAGAGGCUUGCUUCUUUGAGACCGGCGCACGAGUGCGUAACGCGUAUGCAACCUACCUUCAUCUGGGGGAUAGCCCGGAGAAAUCCGGAUUAAUACCGCAUAAAAUCACAGGAUGGCAUUAUCCAAUGAUCAAACAUUUAUGGGAUGGAGAUGGGCAUGCGUGUCAUUAGCUAGUUGGCGGGGUAACGGCCCACCAAGGCGACGAUGACUAGGGGAUCUGAGAGGAUGGCCCCCCACACUGGUACUGAGACACGGACCAGACUCCUACGGGAGGCAGCAGUAAGGAAUAUUGGUCAAUGGAGGCAACUCUGAACCAGCCAUGCCGCGUGCAGGAAGACUGCCCUAUGGGUUGUAAACUGCUUUUAUUCGGGAAUAAACCUAUUACGUGUAAUAAGCUGAAUGUACCGAAGGAAUAAGGAUCGGCUAACUCCGUGCCAGCCGCCGCGGUAA
rnacentral:rRNA from 1 species